GACGUCGAUAUUCGACGUAAUAAACACGAUCAACUUUGGUGUUUAUGACGUCGAUAUUCGACGUCAUAAACACGAUCAACUUUGUGUUUAUGACGUCGAUAUUCGACGUCAUAAACACGAUCAACUUUGGUGUUUAUGACGUCGAUAUUCGACGUCAUAAACACGAUCAACUUUGGUGUUUAUGACGUCGAUAUUCGACGUC